rnacentral:sRNA from 1 species
UUCUUGCCGCGCGCGACGGUAGUGAA